GUUUAAUAUAUCAAGUUCCAUAUGGUUCUCAAUCUCUUUUGUCCUCCGGCUGUAGGCUGCUAAUUUGGAAUAGUUCCUUGUUUCAUUGGAGUUCUAUUUGUUUAAAACAUCACUCUGCCCCAUGCCAUGGAGAGAUGUUCCUUUUCUGUUUUAAUCUGUUGCUACUGAACUUGUUUUUAGUUUUUUGAGCAGUCCAAUAAUUUUUUUCUUUUGGUUUCUUUUCUUCACAAACACAUGCAGUUUGUCCUGACUGCUAUGGACAAUUAAGUAUUGCAGCGUUGCUUGGAAUAGUUAGCCAUGUUUUGCAAACACUAUUCUGACUGCUAUUAAAUUUUAAUCUGCUAAUACUGAACUUACGUUUAGUUCCUUUACGAAUGUUGAGAAGGGUUCUUGGUUGCAGUGGGCAGGAAAAAGGGAUGCACAUGGAUGAACUUUGCCAACAGCUGAAACUUCCCAUGGAGAAGAUCAAGGAAUCUAUUAGAUCACUUGAGGAUGAAGGUUUAAUUUACUCUACAAUUGACGAGUUUCACUACAAAGCAACCUGAUGAAGUUCACAGUAUUUUGGAAUGCUACCCAUUCUACAAUGCUGUUGCGAGUUAUUUUGCUCCUUCUUUUGAAUAUUAACAGAACAGCCAGUAGAUAUUUAUUUGUUUCUAUGUUAACAUCUUAAGUGCAGGGAUCUUGACAUG